rnacentral:rRNA from 1 species
GGGUGAGUAACACGUGGGUAACCUGCCCAUAAGACUGGGAUAACUCCGGGAAACCGGGGCUAAUACCGGAUAAUAUUUUGAACUGCAUGGUUCGAAAUUGAAAGGCGGCUUCGGCUGUCACUUAUGGAUGGACCCGCGUCGCAUUAGCUAGUUGGUGAGGUAACGGCUCACCAAGGCAACGAUGCGUAGCCGACCUGAGAGGGUGAUCGGCCACACUGGGACUGAGACACGGCCCAG